GAACGCUGGCGGCAGGCCUAACACCUGCAAGUCGAGCGAGGACUUCGGUUCUAGCGGCGGACGGGUGAGUAACGCGUGGGAAUGUGCCCUUCUCUACGGAAUAGCCCUGGGAAACUGGGAGUAAUACCGUAUACGCCCUAUUGGGGAAAGAUUUAUCGGAGAAGGAUCAGCCCGCGUUGGAUUAGGUAGUUGGUGGGGUAAUGGCCUACCAAGCCGACGAUCCAUAGCUGGUUUGAGAGGAUGAUCAGCCACACUGGGACUGAGACACGGCCCAGACUCCUACGGGAGGCAGCAGUGGGGAAUCUUAGACAAUGGGGGCAACCCUGAUCUAGCCAUGCCGCGUGAGUGAUGAAGGCCUUAGGGUUGUAAAGCUCUUUCAGCUGGGAAGAUAAUGACGGUACCAGCAGAAGAAGCCCCGGCUAACUCCGUG
rnacentral:rRNA from 1 species